AAUGAACGCUGGCGGCAGGCCUAACACAUGCAAGUCGAGCGGAGGAAGGGGGCUCGCGCCUGGAUUCAGCGGCGGACGGGUGAGUAAGGACCAGGAAUCUGCCUGGCAGUGGGGGAUAACGUCCGGAAACGGGCGCUAAUACCGCAUACGUCCUGAGGGAGAAAGGGGGGGAUCUUCGGACCUCACGCUAUCAGAUGAGCCUAGGUCGGAUUAGCUAGUUGGUGGGGUAAAGGCCUACCAAGGCGACGAUCCGUAACUGGUCUGAGAGGAUGAUCAGUCACACGGGAACUGAGACACGGUCCAGACUCCUACGGGAGGCAGCAGUGGGGAAUAUUGGGCAAUGGGCGAAAGCCUGAUCCAGCCAUGCCGCGUGUGUGAAGAAGGUCUUCGGAUUGUAAAGCACUUUAAGUUGGGAGGAAGGGCAGUAAGUUAAUACCUUGCUGUUUUGACGGUACCUACAGAAUAAGCACCGGCUAACUACGUG
rnacentral:rRNA from 1 species